rnacentral:piRNA from 1 species
AGGAAUGGAAGACAGGAAGAACAGG